UGGGGAAUAUUGGACAAUGGGCGAAAGCCUGAUCCAGCCAUGCCGCGUGUGUGAAGAAGGUCUUCGGAUUGUAAAGCACUUUAAGUUGGGAGGAAGGGCAGUAAGCGAAUACCUUGCUGUUUUGACGUUACCGACAGAAUAAGCACCGGCUAACUCUGUGCCAGCAGCCGCGGUAAUACAGAGGGUGCAAGCGUUAAUCGGAAUUACUGGGCGUAAAGCGCGCGUAGGUGGUUCGUUAAGUUGAAUGUGAAAGCCCCGGGCUCAACCUGGGAACUGCAUCCCAAACUGGCGAGCUAGAGUAGGGCAGAGGGUGGUGGAAUUUCCUGUGUAGCGGUGAAAUGCGUAGAUAUCGGAAGGAACACCAGUGACGAAGGCGACCACCUGGGCUCAUACUGACACUGAGGUGCGAAAGCGUGGGGAGCAAACAGG
rnacentral:rRNA from 1 species